GAUGAACGCUGGCGGCGUGCCUAAUACAUGCAAGUCGAGCGAACGGACGAGAAGCUUGCUUCUCUGAUGUUAGCGGCGGACGGGUGAGUAACACGUGGAUAACCUACCUAUAAGACUGGGGUAACUUCGGGAAACCGGAGCUAAUACCGGAUAAUAUUUUGAACCGCAUGGUUCAAAAGUGAAAGACGGUCUUGCUGUCACUUAUAGAUGGAUCCGCGCUGCAUUAGCUAGUUGGUAAGGUAACGGCUUACCAAGGCAACGAUGCAUAGCCGACCUGAGAGAGUGAUCGGCCACACUGGAACUGAGACACGGUCCAGACUCCUACGGGAGGCAGCAGUAGGGAAUCUUCCGCAAUGGGCGAAAGCCUGACGGAGCAACGCCGCGUGAGUGAUGAAGGUCUUCGGAUCGUAAAACUCUGUUAUUAGGGAAGAACAUAUGUGUAAGUAACUGUGCACAUCUUGACGGUACCUAAUCAGAAAGCCACGGCUAACUACGUG
rnacentral:rRNA from 1 species